rnacentral:rRNA from 1 species
GACAUAGGUGGCGAACGUUAUCCGGAAUUAUUGGGCGUAAAGGAUGCGUAGGUGGUUGAAUAAGUUACUGGUCGAUGCCAAACUCAAUUUGACGGAAGCUGGUAAUACUGUUCUGCUCGAGGGCAGGAGAGGUUGAUGGAAUUCUGUGUGGAGCGGUGAAAUGCGUUGAUCUACAGAGGAACACCAAAAAGGCGAAGGCAGUCAACUAUUCUGUUCCUGACAUUGAGGCAUGAAAGCGUGGGGAGCAAACCGG